rnacentral:rRNA from 1 species
GACGAACGCUGGCGGCGUGCUUAACACAUGCAAGUCGAGCGGUAAGGCCCUUUCGGGGGUACACGAGCGGCGAACGGGUGAGUAACACGUGGGUGACCUGCCCUCAGCUCUGGGAUAAGCCUGGGAAACCGGGUCUAAUACCGGAUAUGACUCCAUGACGCAUGUUGUGGGGUGGAAAGCCUUGUGCGGCUGAGGAUGGGCCCGCGGCCUAUCAGCUUGUUGGUGGGGNGAUGGCCUACCAAGGCGACGACGGGUAGCCGGCCUGAGAGGGCGACCGGCCACACUGGGACUGAGACACGGCCCAGACUCCUACGGGAGGGCAGCAGUGGGGAAUCUUGCGCAAUGGGCGAAAGCCUGACGCAGCGACGCCGCGUGAGGGAUGACGGCCU